CCUACGGGUGGCAGCAGUGAGGAAUAUUGGUCAAUGGACGAGAGUCUGAACCAGCCAAGUAGCGUGAAGGAUGACUGCCCUAUGGGUUGUAAACUUCUUUUAUAUGGUAAUAAAAUGUUCCACGUGUGGGAUUUUGUAUGUACCAUAUGAAUAAGGAUCGGCUAACUCCGUGCCAGCAGCCGCGGUAAUACGGAGGAUCCGAGCGUUAUCCGGAUUUAUUGGGUUUAAAGGGAGCGUAGGUGGAUUGUUAAGUCAGUUGUGAAAGUUUGCGGCUCAACCGUAAAAUUGCAGUUGAAACUGGCAGUCUUGAGUACAGUAGAGGUGGGCGGAAUUCGUGGUGUAGCGGUGAAAUGCUUAGAUAUCACGAAGAACUCCGAUUGCGAAGGCAGUUCACUGGACUGCAACUGACACUGAGGCUCGAAAGUGUGGGUAUCAAACAGGAUUAGAUACCCUAGUAGUC
rnacentral:rRNA from 1 species